CACUAACCGCAUGAAAUCUCGGCUUCGUCAGGCAGCGGGACCCCCACCGGCACACGCCCGAGCAUGAGGAGGAUCGGUGGCCGUUACCCUGCCCACACCGGAGGCUGCUGGUAGGGAUGGUGUGGCUGUGAAGAGCCGGUGUGACGCGCCUGUGGUCGGGGGAAGAAGUGCCUGGACAACAUGACUGUUUUCAACCCGGAAAAUGUGGAGGAAUUUUAUGACAUCGGGGACGAGCUGGGGAGGUCGUGGUUCUGAGAUUAUUAAUGGGAAAGAAGUCGAGCCACACUCACUGCCUUUCAUGGCUUAUGUGAGAAGUGUGACUAAUUCUUGGUGUGGAGGGACAUUAAUCCAUCCACAGUGGGUGCUGACAGCUGCUCACUGCACUGGGAGUUACUGGGUGAUGCUGGGAGCCCACUCCAGAACGAAAAACGAACAUUCCAAGCAACUCCGAGUCGUCGAGAAAAGUUUUCCUCAU